GACGAACGCUGGCGGCGUGCUUAACACAUGCAAGUCGAACGGAAAGGCCCUGCUUUUGUGGGGUGCUCGAGUGGCGAACGGGUGAGUAACACGUGAGUAACCUGCUCUUGAUUUUGGGAUAACUUCAGGAAACUGGGGCUACUAUCGUAUAGGAGCUCCUGCUGCAUGGUGGGGGUUGGAAAGUUUCGGCGGUUGGGGUUGGACUGGCGGCUUACCAGCUUGUUGGUGGGGGAGUGGCUUACCAAGGGUUUGACGGGUAGCCGGCCUGAGAGGGUGACCGGCCACAUUGGGACUGAGAUACGGCCCAGACGCCAACGGGAGGCAGCAGUGGGGAAUAUUGCACAAUGGGCGGAAGCCUGAUGCAGCAACGCCGCGUGCGGGAUGACGGCCUUCGGGUUGUAAACCGCUUUCGCCUGUGACGAAGCGUGAGUGACGGUAAUGGGUAAAGAAGCACCGGCUAACUACGUG
rnacentral:rRNA from 1 species